rnacentral:rRNA from 1 species
UACGGGGGGGGCAAGCGUUGUUCGGAAUUACUGGGCGUAAAGGGUUCGUAGGUGGCUUGCUAAGUCAGACGUGAAAUCCCUCAGCUUAACUGGGGAACUGCGUCUGAGACUGGCAAGCUUGAGUGCAGGAGGAGGAAGUGCGGAAUUCCAGGUGUAGCGGUAGAAAUGCGUAGAUAUCUGGAGGAACACCGGUGGCGAAGGCGGCGUUCUGGACUGCAACUGACACUGAGGAACGAAAGCCAGGGAGCAAACGGG